ensembl:lncRNA LINC00343 long intergenic non-protein coding RNA 343
AGUGAAUUCUACAAAGAGGCUAUGGGAAAGAAACCUGGAAAGGUAGGGAGGUAUGGAUAUGGACAAGCUAUGCCAAGGAGCAGGGCUUUGUCAUGGAGAGUGACUAGGUGCUUUUACAUAGGAAAGUCACCUGAUAAUAUUAAAACCUGUGAAAUAUCACUCUGGUGGAAGUGUGAAUGAAUUUGAAAGGGGUGUAACACUGUUCUACUUUGUUUACUCCUCAGUACCCUUGGCUGUGUACAUUUGAGUAAAGAGAGCACUAUAAAAUCAAAAACCAAUGAAAUGGUUUCCAGAACACAGAACUAUUAAGCUUAAGAAAAGGACAGAAGGAACUGAAGAGAGAGGAACUGUUUUGGAGCAUCACACUUCCACCUCAGAAGAAAUAAGGAAGGAAGGAGGAGGGUGUUCCCACGGCUCUUCAACCAGGCCGGCUCUUCAGCCUACAUCCCCAUCUCAUCAAGUAAAAGGGAUUUUUCAACUGGACCAACCAGAUGGUUUAACAGUGCACUCCCACACCAUUCAACUACGCAAGGGAGAUACACUUAACAUAUGCAGUCGUAUAACACCUACUAACAUUUUCAAACAUUAAACCUUUAAAAAAGAGUUCUAAAGAAAUAGAAGCUUGAAGUAUCAUCUCUCAAGUAUAUAGACACUACUUCAUGGUGUGGUAAUAUAUGCAUAUAGAAGCUAGUAAACACCUCCAGGAGAUGCAAAAGGAAUUAGAACUGCCACAAGGUGCAAGCAAAACCUUGAGUUCUGUUUUUCCUCUUCUAAUCCUUCACCCAUCUGAGCUAAAGUCUAGACCUAAGGAGGCUACUAAUUCAGGGAUCGAGUAAUCUGCCAAGCAAGAGUUUAUUCAAGCACAGUUUGAAAUAAAGGUUUCAAAUGCAUAGCCUGUCGAUACUUUGGAAGGAUUCUCAUCAUAACGAGUAUGCAAUUUGCUAUAAAGAAGAAUGCCCAUUACGGACUAAAUGUUUAUGUCCUCCUAAAAUUCAUAUGUUGAAGGCCUAACUCUCAAUGUGAUGAUUAUGUGGAGAUGGUGCCUUUGGGAGGUAACUGGGCUUAGAUGUGGGCGUGAGGGUGGGGCCUCAUGGUGAAAUUUGUGCCCUUGUAAGAAAAACACACCACAGGUUUUCAUUCUUCCUCUGCCACAUGAGGCCACAGUAAGAAUGUGACCAUCUGCUAGCCAGGAGGAAAGUCCUCACUGGAACCCGCCCAUAAUAACACUCCAGUCUGGGGCUUUUCAGCCUCCAGAACCAUGAGAAAUAAAUUUCUAGUGUUUAAGUCAC